rnacentral:tRNA from 1 species
GGAGAGAUGGCUGAGUGGAUUAAAGCGUCGGAUUGCUAAUCCGUUGUACGCAUUUUUGUACCGAGGGUUCGAAUCCCUCUCUUUCCG